CUUUCUUCCCUUCUGGCUCUCUUAUCCGGCGACUGUCGCCGGCGUGAUUUGCCUAUGCGUGCUCUGGGCAGAGACAAGUGCUGAUAACGUGUAAAAGAAUGAUUUGAUUGAAGUAUCUUAUUCCAUUGAUGAUCACAUAUUUAUACAAGGGGAACCGACGCUUAUGAGAAAAUGCGCCUGUUCGAGGGGAUGCGAGGAACAGAUGCGACGGUUGCCUGGAGAGGUUCCCGCACGAACGAGGCGGUGGUUUCCUCGAGAGGAUCCCGUGCAUGCUGUUAUUUACAACAAGGAUUAUCUCUAAUAAUUAAUUCCUAACACCGAUGAGAGUUGUAGGGAUGUCGGCGGUUGAGCGGUUCGGGCGCGGAGACAGGAGGCGCAAGAGGAUGUGGAUGGACCAGAUCGGGUGGCUUGGGGUCGGAUCCCGCCGGCGGCGGAGGGCUCGCGGCGACCUUGGAGGCCGGGCGUUGAAGAACUCGGGGCGGCAGUGGUGCUCGGCCGUGGAGGGCUCUAUGUGAUGAUGUUGGCCCUAGGUUAACCAAGCCAGCCUUCUGGCUGGAGCAACUAUGUGCAAGCAUCGUGCAGGCAUCAUGUCAGGCAAGGAAUCAAGCCAAGGUCUGCGGAUACAACUUGACGUGCGACAGGGCGGAGCACCUAUGAUCGAACAUACGGGAUUGCAGCUGCACGCUGGAGGAAGGGGGCAUAAGAUACGAUGCGCUUAUGGGCCACGAACAGGUGCGGAGAUGCCAAACUAGAGGUUCCGGGUGGAUGGACUUCGAUAUCCGGGUGAUCUUCUCCGGCUUUUGUUUGAGAAUAUUGAGAUGGCACCAUUGCGUGAUAUCUGCUGCAGAAGAGUACGUAUUUCGUCCGUGAUUGUUGCUAUGAUUGAUGUCGUACUACUCGAGAAAGAUGGCAACAACAGCCAUGAUCCAUCUCUGUCGAUGUGGUUGACAGUUUGACACUCACAACAUGGUACUCCCUCCUUCUAGAUGUACAGAUUUAUCUCCCUAGCUUUGUAUGGAUGAAAUUGGGGAUCACAUAUUCGAUGCAUUUUAUGUAUCUCUGUACCCAUGCCGAUGGACAUGCAGUAAGCUGCAGAGACACUCCAUGCAGGUAUUAAGCAUCAUUGGAGGUCAAUAGCCUAAUGUAUUAAUCAGCGCACAUAGAGACAUGGCAAUGUGUUGGAUACAACCUCUAAUCACCUUCAUACUCAAGGUGGAUACAACCUCUAAUCACCUUCAUACUGAAGGUACGUACAACUAGCUUCUGCAAUUAGUUGACCCUGUUUAGUUUUCUCCUUCCCUAGAACAUGACUAUCAUAUUUUACUAAAAAUGAGUUAUUAUUAGAACACAACAUAUAAUAAUGAGAUGUGGUAUUUUUCAAGAAAAUCUCAUAUGACUGUAGUAUUUUUCAUGUGAGACUAAGGGACAAGGAAGCUGCAGUUUGUUUUUCCAGUACAAAUGUCAGGCAGAUGUUUGUUCAAACGCUAUGUGAGAAUGGGCUUCUUUUCUCAUUCCUUGAUUGGUAUUUGGACCUCCUAGAGUAAUUACAUGAGUUAUGAAAAAGUUGACUGUAUGUUGCUCCUUUUGGACUGUUCUAACCUGAUGUUCACAUUCAUAUAUAGCCAAGUUUUGGGAGUAUUAAAAUAAGUUGAAUUAGUAUCCCCAGGAAAGCCGUGAACAGAUAUGCUGACCACUUAUAUUUGUCUAAAAUUGAUGGUCAUUUUCAUCUAAUAAAAUUCUUCCAUGUAUACCCUCAUAGAUUAUUUCCGAGGCAGCGACAAGAAACAAUAUGGGCCUACUGAAUACUUGCCGGCCUGAGAAGUUGCAUAGGUACGUAGCCGAUUGAAAGCUGCUGGCCAAUGCUUUAGCCAGCAACACACACAUGUACGCAACCAGCUAUCCAAGAAGGCAGGUGGAUUGAUUCCGGCUGGCUGCAAACAAGCAGGCAAAACGCAGGCACACAACGUAGAUCAAAAUCUUGCUGAAACACAUGCACGCCGCACGCACGCGACGCCUGUCAUUGGCCUGAGUAUUUAUUAUUACUUCGAUCUGAGUUUUACAAGGGGAGUGGGAUUACAUGGGUAUAUAUAACAGCGAGGGAUGCAAUGACAUCAUGCCGAUUUUAAGAUUAUCUAACAAUUCAAACAUUAUUCAUAAAUAUCUCUGAAAUCGUCACAUUGUUAUCAUUAUUAUUAGUGCAGGCUAGAUUGAUAGAUGGCAGGUAGUAUAGUUCAACUUUGGCUACAUAAGAACGAACCAAUUGGUGCAUCAUAUAUGCCAUGCGUUCGGGUGAUGACUGCUACAGACUCCCGAUGUCCUCUUUGAGUACUAACUACAUGUUUCCUGUUACUUUUUAAGGUUAGUUCCUUGAAUUUUCAGUGUUCAUUCUUCUGAAGACUAAUAUCUAAUUUUUCAUGGCUAUCGUCUUAUUUUUAUUACUUCAUCAUUAACCUUAAAUACAAAUUUUAUGUGCCAAUUAAUUAAGUGAUGUAUAUUAGCCAGUUGAAAGCCUCUUUGUCCACCAACUACAUUUUCAGAAAACCAGACAAAACAUCACUACAUUUCGAACCCCUGUAUCAUGAAUUUCCCCAUUUGUUUUCUUUCUCGCCAUAGUUUACUUAUCAUUAAGAAAUAAUGCCAAUCGGUACCAACAUAAGAGUAGAUGUGUUGUGACAGGUGAUGAUCUAAGAGUAUUUUAUUAUUCCUCAUUCAGUGUGCACUUUUCCAAUUUCUAAUUUACUAUGUGUGUUCUACAGUCUAAGAUGGAGGAUAUAUGGUCUUUAAUGUCAGCUUUACAAAACAUAUAUAUUCAUUGUUUAGACAACUUUUCGCAAGUGCGUUGCACAUUUCUAUCAACAUGCUGUAUCAAAUCACUCACUAUCUUUUUUUAUGGGCCUUAAUGUGCUUGAUAUUCUAUAAAUUACUUUCGAGAUGUGCUAUAGCACAUAGAAAGUGGGACGUUUUUACUUCCAUACGUUAAUCCGCACCAAAAGAUUAGUCUAGCCUUUAGGAUUCUAAAUUUAAUGGUUAUGAUCUAUUAGAGCGCCGUUCUUUUAUUUGUAAAGCAAAUCACCCACGUCCAUGCAUACAUUAAAAGGAAUUAGACCUGCACGUAUCAAAUAGGCCCUGCAACCUGAAGCCUAUCCUGAUUGAAAGAUCUAGAUGAUAUUCAACUGUAAUGUAAUUUUAUUUUGGAUAGUGUUUAAGAAACAAGGAUUACCGUCAGUGACCAAUUGACCAGCACAAUGUCAAUAAUAAGAAUCACGACAUAGUUUGCUUUGGAUACUUAGUUCUCAAUUUUCUUUAUGUCAACAUAUUGGUAGCUGAUGCGAUAAAAGGUGCCAGACAGGACAUUGGCACAUCAAUCAUCGUUACAUCAGGUGUGCACAUCACAGCGGAGCUACAAGUUCAUUUUUCCAUGUUUAAAAUAAAUCAGAUCUUCCCAGUGCAAGUACUGAGACAGGUUGUGCUGAGGUUUGCCCAUGUUGUCAACUGCAUGUUCUAGGAGAAUUUUUUUGUUGUACCUGAUACAGUACACUUCGAUGAUGAUAUCUUAGUCAACCUUUUGUUGCAGUUUUUAAUGAACAGAUAGUCUAUCAUGAAAGAUAUAUUACCUUUCAUCAAAAAAUGGAAUUCCAUUUAGACUGGAAAUAUUUAGCUUACAUGAUACAAAUCGAACCCUUAAGGUGAUCAGAUAUAUGUUUUAAGUUAUGGCCGUUUGCUCUCCAGUCACCGGUAUUCAGUUUUUUCAUCAAGUUUUGAUGAAACAGGGAGGAAACCCUGAACAAUAAUGGACUCACUAGCAUGUAGAUGAUGUGUCUCUUUCUUAAACUGGACUGAAUGCUUCUUAUUAUAUUUUGUUCUGAGGAGUUGAUGGUCUGAUGUCUUAUAUGUUUAGUUGCUCUAUACUGUCAUAAUUCUAUGAUGCAAAGGAUUGUAUAUUUUUUUCAUCAAGUAACCCUUAUAGGCUCUCCUCUAAUAUGCGUGUGUGUUGUUACCUCUUUUUUCCUGCAUUUUAUUUUCUACACCACAAUCAAAUGUGAAUAUGUACGUUUUGCCUAGCCAAUAAUUACUAAACUAAUCAUUUUUUAAUAUCCGCACAAUAUAUUUAUUAUGGAUAAUUUCUUUGAGAAAAUGCCAUUUGUUAACUCGCAAUAAUCAUUAACUUCACACACAAAAAUUAGAAUAUAUAAAACUCAGUCUGUAGAAGCUAUAGCUAUGUUUUACCUCGGAAGUAGUUGCCUGUUGGUGCACAUUUUUUAAUACCUACUUUAGAAUGUUAUUUAUCAAAUUUACAAAGCAUGGUUACGUGUACCUUUACUCCAAGGUCAUUGCUUCUCUUUUAUAAAACAAAAAUUACACGUAUUUGGGUGCAAUUCGAAGAGAAAUUUGUAAAGUGUAUGCAUAUAUAUCAUGACACUAGCAUCCACUGCGAUGCAUUUGAUAAUACUUCCACUUGAUCUCUUGGAUUAUUAGAGAAUUCAUUAAGUGACGGCAGAUUAUUAGAGAAUUCAUCAAGUGACGGCUACUGGUGAAUUUAUGGACGAUAUUACACUAGAGGUGCAACAACGGAUAGGUCAAUUAAGAUCCGGAUAAAAACACAGAGUCAUUGUGAUUGUGAUGUUCAGUGCAUACAAAUUUUUAGGAGUUUCACUAGGAUAAUAUAGAAUGCAGGAAGAAACCAUGUACUCCCUCUGUAUCACAACAUAAGAUGUUUUUUUUCUAGAUUAGAUUAAAAGGACUUAUAUUUUGAUAAGGAGGUAGUAUUUAUGAACUUGAGAACUGUAGUAACUCAUGAGCUCAUG